GCCGUAAUCGUCUAGUGGUUAGGACAUCAGUUUGUGGCCAAUCCCAGUUGAAAACACUGGAAACCGAGGUUCGAUUCCUCGUUACGGCA